CUUGUCCGGCCUGGGCGGGAGGAGGAGGCCGAGCCAGACCCUGUUACCUCUUCAAAGGCUGGAAACCAAAGAGGACAAGAAAUUCCUGGACUUACAUCCUAAACCAGCUAAAUGACAUUUACCAGUCAGAAUCUGUCCUUAGUGAGCAGAGUACAAGUCGUUAGUGACAGAAUACUCUGGUCUGCAGACCCAGAUCAAGACCUGUGUUUGUACUCACCCAGAUUUUAGUCAUCAAAGGGAGGUUUCCACAGCUGCCACCUCUUGCGGAAGCAAGCCCUACAGGAAUGUGCCUCAAAGGACACCUGCAAUAACAGCAUAUGGCUACUUGAAAUAAUCCACAAAGGCAGUGAGACCAGCUCUGGAAAGCUAAUGAUGAACAGAGACAAGGGAACAGAAGGACUUUGUCUGGUAGAAAGGCUUGGAGUAUCCCUUACAGAUCUGUCCUGGAGCACAAAACAUAAAGAUAUUACAACAUCCUUUCAUCCAACGCGUCAGUACUUGGAGCACUCACAGAGUUUUGAGAGAUUUAACUCCUUCUUCUGCUUAAAGGUAACAUAGAAUUCCAAAUCUGAGGUGAAGAGAUUAAGCACCUGGUAUUGCUCAGAAAAGCACUGUGGAGUA